GCCAGGCACAGGGGUGCAUGCCUGUAAUCCCAGCAGCUUGGGAGGCUGAGGCAAGAGGAUCAUGAGCUCAAAACCAGCCUCAGCAAAAGUGAGGUGCUAAGCAACUCAGUGAGACCCUGUCUCUA
rnacentral:sRNA from 1 species